rnacentral:lncRNA from 1 species
AAAGAACUUUAGGUUAACUCGUAGUAGGAUACGUAGGAGGACUGGAGGAGCAGAGUUUGAGAGAAUUAUUUGAAUUCAAGAAUAUAAUUUAUGCAAGGAAUUAACUAUUAAGGAUCAGAUCAAAGCCAUUCUUUUCUUUUGAGCUUCAGUAGGUAACUUUACGUUAGAUGAUUGAAUUUGGUAGUUUAUUCUCUGCUUGUUGGCCGCCCAAAGAUUUAAAUAAUGAGAAUAAUUAAUAGGAUAAAUCGCAUAAAAAACCUUCAAGGUGGCAGCCACUUACACUUUAAACCUUGAAAGUAUUUCACAAGCACUUUAAAUCUUCAAAGUGACACUUUUAUCAAAAUAAACCUCCAACCUGGCUUACUUGUACAUCAAGUCAAAACGGUAACCGGUACUGUUCAAAAACGAUGACGUGUCGGUUUUUUUUUUUUUUUUUUUUUUAAAUUAUUUCAUUAAUAAAAUAAAUAUUAAAAUAAAGAAAAUAUUAAAAUUCAUAAAAAAAUUCAAAACAGAUCAUAAAAAUCACUAAAAAUUCAAAAAAAAAAUCAAAAUAUUCACCAAAAAAAUUUAAAUUAUUUUAUUAAUAAAAUUAAUAUAAAAUACAAAAGUAUAAAAAUUCAUAAAAAAUUGAAAAUAAAUCAUAAAAAGUCAAUAAAAUUCACAAAAAUUCAUAAAAUUCACAAAAAAUAUUUUAAAUUAAAUAUAAAAAUAAUCAUAAACUUUUACAAAAAUAAAAGAUUCACAACAAUAUUUAUAUUAUUUUAUUAAUAAAAUAAGUAUAAAAUACAGAAAAUAUAAAAAAUCAUUAAAAAUUUGAAACAAAUCACAAAAAUUCACAAAAAUCAAGAAUAAAAUUAUAUGUGGUUUUAUAAAAGCGACUAAGGAAUAACGUGCAUUGAGUGCUAUAAACUGGCUACCCUCAAGCUAUCAUUAGUAUACAUUCUUCCCUUUAAUAAUCCUAAACUUUUUCAAAUCCAACCAACACACACAUAGAACAUAACAGAUUAAAAAACCAAAAUAGCAGUCAGUCUCCGGGUUAUGAUUACUCUAAUUCAGAUUAGAAAAAAAUCAUUAUUUUAUAUUUAUUUUAUUAAUCAUAACCCAGAGACUGACUGAAUUUUUCUAAUCUAAAUCAGAGUAAUCAUA